GGGUUGUGAGGUUAAGCGACUAAGCGUACACGGUGGAUGCCCUGGCAGUCAGAGGCGAUGAAGGACGUGCUAAUCUGCGAUAAGCGUCGGUAAGGUGAUAUGAACCGUUAUAACCGGCGAUUUCCGAAUGGGGAAACCCAGUGUGAUUCGUCACACUAUCAUUAACUGAAUCCAUAGGUUAAUGAGGCGAACCGGGGGAACUGAAACAUCUAAGUACCCCGAGGAAAAGAAAUCAACCGAGAUUCCCCCAGUAGCGGCGAGCGAACGGGGAGGAGCCCAGAGCCUGAAUCAGUGUGUGUGUUAGUGGAAGCGUCUGGAAAGGCGCGCGAUACAGGGUGACAGCCCCGUACACAAAAAUGCACAUGCUGUGAGCUCGAUGAGUAGGGCGGGACACGUGGUAUCCUGUCUGAAUAUGGGGGGACCAUCCUCCAAGGCUAAAUACUCCUGACUGACCGAUAGUGAACCAGUACCGUGAGGGAAAGGCGAAAAGAACCCCGGCGAGGGGAGUGAAAAAGAACCUGAAACCGUGUACGUACAAGCAGUGGGAGCCUCUUUAUGGGGUGACUGCGUACCUUUUGUAUAAUGGGUCAGCGACUUAUAUUCUGUAGCAAGGUUAACCGAAUAGGGGAGCCGAAGGGAAACCGAGUCUUAACUGGGCGUUAAGUUGCAGGGUAUAGACCCGAAACCCGGUGAUCUAGCCAUGGGCAGGUUGAAGGUUGGGUAACACUAACUGGAGGACCGAACCGACUAAUGUUGAAAAAUUAGCGGAUGACUUGUGGCUGGGGGUGAAAGGCCAAUCAAACCGGGAGAUAGCUGGUUCUCCCCGAAAGCUAUUUAGGUAGCGCCUCGUGAAUUCAUCUCCGGGGGUAGAGCACUGUUUCGGCAAGGGGGUCAUCCCGACUUACCAACCCGAUGCAAACUGCGAAUACCGGAGAAUGUUAUCACGGGAGACACACGGCGGGUGCUAACGUCCGUCGUGAAGAGGGAAACAACCCAGACCGCCAGCUAAGGUCCCAAAGUCAUGGUUAAGUGGGAAACGAUGUGGGAAGGCCCAGACAGCCAGGAUGUUGGCUUAGAAGCAGCCAUCAUUUAAAGAAAGCGUAAUAGCUCACUGGUCGAGUCGGCCUGCGCGGAAGAUGUAACGGGGCUAAACCAUGCACCGAAGCUGCGGCAGCGACGCUUAUGCGUUGUUGGGUAGGGGAGCGUUCUGUAAGCCUGCGAAGGUGUACUGUGAGGUAUGCUGGAGGUAUCAGAAGUGCGAAUGCUGACAUAAGUAACGAUAAAGCGGGUGAAAAGCCCGCUCGCCGGAAGACCAAGGGUUCCUGUCCAACGUUAAUCGGGGCAGGGUGAGUCGACCCCUAAGGCGAGGCCGAAAGGCGUAGUCGAUGGGAAACAGGUUAAUAUUCCUGUACUUGGUGUUACUGCGAAGGGGGGACGGAGAAGGCUAUGUUGGCCGGGCGACGGUUGUCCCGGUUUAAGCGUGUAGGCUGGUUUUCCAGGCAAAUCCGGAAAAUCAAGGCUGAGGCGUGAUGACGAGGCACUACGGUGCUGAAGCAACAAAUGCCCUGCUUCCAGGAAAAGCCUCUAAGCAUCAGGUAACAUCAAAUCGUACCCCAAACCGACACAGGUGGUCAGGUAGAGAAUACCAAGGCGCUUGAGAGAACUCGGGUGAAGGAACUAGGCAAAAUGGUGCCGUAACUUCGGGAGAAGGCACGCUGAUAUGUAGGUGAAGCGACUUGCUCGUGGAGCUGAAAUCAGUCGAAGAUACCAGCUGGCUGCAACUGUUUAUUAAAAACACAGCACUGUGCAAACACGAAAGUGGACGUAUACGGUGUGACGCCUGCCCGGUGCCGGAAGGUUAAUUGAUGGGGUUAGCGGUAACGCGAAGCUCUUGAUCGAAGCCCCGGUAAACGGCGGCCGUAACUAUAACGGUCCUAAGGUAGCGAAAUUCCUUGUCGGGUAAGUUCCGACCUGCACGAAUGGCGUAAUGAUGGCCAGGCUGUCUCCACCCGAGACUCAGUGAAAUUGAACUCGCUGUGAAGAUGCAGUGUACCCGCGGCAAGACGGAAAGACCCCGUGAACCUUUACUAUAGCUUGACACUGAACAUUGAGCCUUGAUGUGUAGGAUAGGUGGGAGGCUUUGAAGUGUGGACGCCAGUCUGCAUGGAGCCGACCUUGAAAUACCACCCUUUAAUGUUUGAUGUUCUAACGUUGGCCCCUAAUCGGGGUUGCGGACAGUGUCUGGUGGGUAGUUUGACUGGGGCGGUCUCCUCCUAAAGAGUAACGGAGGAGCACGAAGGUUGGCUAAUCCUGGUCGGACAUCAGGAGGUUAGUGCAAUGGCAUAAGCCAGCUUGACUGCGAGCGUGACGGCGCGAGCAGGUGCGAAAGCAGGUCAUAGUGAUCCGGUGGUUCUGAAUGGAAGGGCCAUCGCUCAACGGAUAAAAGGUACUCCGGGGAUAACAGGCUGAUACCGCCCAAGAGUUCAUAUCGACGGCGGUGUUUGGCACCUCGAUGUCGGCUCAUCACAUCCUGGGGCUGAAGUAGGUCCCAAGGGUAUGGCUGUUCGCCAUUUAAAGUGGUACGCGAGCUGGGUUUAGAACGUCGUGAGACAGUUCGGUCCCUAUCUGCCGUGGGCGCUGGAGAACUGAGGGGGGCUGCUCCUAGUACGAGAGGACCGGAGUGGACGCAUCACUGGUGUUCGGGUUGUCAUGCCAAUGGCACUGCCCGGUAGCUAAAUGCGGAAGAGAUAAGUGCUGAAAGCAUCUAAGCACGAAACUUGCCCCGAGAUGAGUUCUCCCUGACUCCUUGAGAGUCCUGAAGGAACGUUGAAGACGACGACGUUGAUAGGCCGGGUGUGUAAGCGCAGCGAUGCGUUGAGCUAACCGGUACUAAUGAACCGUGAGGCUUAACCUUACAACGCCGAAG
rnacentral:rRNA from 1 species